CUCUCUCUCUCUCUCUUUCUCUCUCUUUCUCUUUCUCUCUGUUUUUUUAAGUCUCCAUAUUCUUCAGCCUAGGCUUGAACUUCUGAUUUUCCUGUCUCAAAUUCCUACAGUAUGGCAAUUGCAGUUGUGCAUAACUAUGCCAGUUUCAAAGGGUGAUUUUAACAAGCACUGUUUACUCUAGAUGACUUACAAGAGGGUGUGUGUGUGUGUGCUGUUUUGUUUGGUUUAAUGUAAUUUAUCAUUUUAUGUCUUUGUUUUUUUGGUAGCAUGGAUCAAACUAGCAACCUUGCAUUUUCUAGACAGGUGCUGAAGUUGCUGAGCAAAGUCCUCAGCCUAAAGCAAAGACUUCUGUGGUUCUCAUUACUUUGAGGAUGUCAUCUGAAAUAAGUAAACAAUUUAAAGGGGUGUUUGCAAUUACUAGUAGUAUUUUCCUUAACCCCCAGCUUCCCAAACAAUGAUUGUUUACCCUAUCCCCUCCUGCAUAGCAGCUAACUGCUUUGUGAAUGUCUCCUCCUGGGCCAACAGUAAACUGGGAGGGUUGCAGGUUGUUCUUGACUGAAUUGUCCAUUGAGACAACUUCAUCCUAUUUGAUCAUUGUUACCAAGUGCCUGCAAGGACUGUCAUACCUCAGACACAGUGAACAAACCAAACCGCCCUUUGACCUGAUUCAUGGUACUGAUGACUAACUAAAGCCCAAAUCCCUGGUGACUACAUCUUUUGAGAGGAGACUAAGUUUCAUUCUUCUUCCCUGGCAUCAUUUCCUAAACCCUGUGAUGACAUUUGCCUCACUUCCAUCCCGCCCCUGUUCCCCACAAGUCACUGAGCAUCUCAGCUGUCCUGACCUGGACUGGAACAUUGUUCUCCAAGCAACAGAUGUGCAGUUCCCCAGCUUGCUGCUCUGACCACCAUCUGAUGGUCAUCAUUAUCGGGCUCAAAGUCCAGGGCAGUAGCAUCUCUUGGCUUCACUUUCACACAUGGCAACCAUGUAACUGGGAAUGUGGCCUCCCUUACUCCCUGAGCAUGAGGGGAGUUACUUGAACUGGUACUGUGGCAUAGCAAGCUGAAGCACAAGAUCAGUGCCAGGUAGCAUGGAAAAAUCCAGGCCCCUCUGUGUGGCACCAUGUGGGAGCUGAGCACCAUGAAGGUGAGCACAAAACAAGGGCAGGAGCAGGUGCUGUGGAAGCCACAGAGGUAGGCAGCCCUUCUCUGAUGUGUGGGCCCCAGUGCCUGUGAGGGCAUCAGGAUUGAACAAGAGAGCUCCUGGCCUGCUGUUGCUGGGUCAGGGUGGCAGUGGACACUGGCUCUGUCUGAUAGUGAAUUUGCACAACACAGAUUGUAUGACUGCCUGACUUUGUCUACCCAGGUCCUUCCUGUUCCACCACAGUCUUCUCUGAACCUUUCAGUGGAGCUACAAGAGGAGAAACUGCAUGUGUAGCUGCCCAAAAUAUAGCUGGUGCAGCUUGGUGUUAUCAGCCAAAAGCUUCCAUUCUCUCUUUCCCCAGGUAUCCCUCCCUCCUCCUCUUAUACUCCCUUCUCUCAAGAGAACACAUCUGGGCUUGUGCUAGCCCUGGCUGGACUGGGAGCUGUUCUUCAUUCCCCCAGACACUUUUGACAAAGAGAGAAUCCAGUACCCACAGGUAUGGAUGAUUUGUUGUCACCCACAACAAACUAGAACCAAAAUGUGUUGUCCUUGAUUCACAAUGUGGGACUGAGGCUACCAGGAACUCUAUUCUUGGCUUUAAGCUCUAGAGUUCUCCUCAGGACAUGGUGGUCAGAACUGGGGGAUCAAGAUCAAUCUGAUUGUAGAGCAAUGCAGGACCUGACAUAAGCUUUGGGUCCCUGUGUGAUGCAUAUAUUCUUGGUUAUGUCAGGAGACAAAUGCAGAAGCUCCUGUCUGGCAGAAUCCAGGUAGACACAGUAACUUUGAAAUGACUCAUGUGAUAUGGGCAGAAUUGUAUCAGCUCAGGGAACAAAGGCUGGGUGCACCAGACCAUGAAGUGGGUCCCUCAGAUCUGUACUACAUUUUGGAAUAAAGACAAAUAAGUGUGCCCCAGCCCAAAUGUGUCUGCAUCUAAAUUCCUGCCACCUGAGUUCAUGCAUUUUGGUCCUGUCCUAAGAGCAAUGGAUGGUAUUAGAAGGUGUGGUAGUGUGGUCAGCCUUCUAAUGGCAUAGCUCUGGGCCCCUCAGGACCUGGACAGCCCUGGAUAGGGGACAGGCCCAAGGCUCACUUAUGUACAACGUGAUGCUGUCCCAUUGACCAGCCUCAGGUUAUGGCCACCAUCAGCUCUUCUUUUGUAUUGGCCACCUAGUUGCCAGGCUUCCAUUGUGUUCUCUCUGUUCUUGCUCACUGUCUCCUGAAUCACAGCAGAAUUGAUUUCCCAAGUCCAGCUGCAAACUGUAGGCCAGUGUGCUGGUGUGAGGCAAGCACCUGUACCAUCAGCAAUAGGGCUGCUGUGUUGUGAAAAGCUGUGGAGUGUGGCAAGAACCCUAUGUGUUUUGAUCCCCACCACAUGGAUGCUGGUGUCAUGAUGUACAGAGCAAGAUUCCUGCCACUCAGAUGUCACUUUUUACUAUAACUUUCCUUCCCAUGAUCAGUUACUCAAAAGUUGUGUGUCAGAUAAAUAUAUGUUGAAGGCCCUGCUAAGCAUCUCCACCCAGACUGCCUGGCAGCAGCUUAACCUUCAAAGCUAGGUGGGAGAGACAGUGAGGGAGAUGGAGGAGGACAAGGGGUUUUGACCUCCAAACAGCAGCUACAGAGGGGCAGGGGAACCUUCAGCUCUCACUGUUACACCCACUUCUGAGGUUGUAUCCUGUGGUCAGAGAAGAGACAGCAGUUUUGAUAACUUUGCUAGAAAUCAGAGAUCUGAACAGAGAUACAAAGGCAGGACAUUAGAGCCAGACUGAGGGCUCCUCCAGAGGAUUUGCCUGCUUUUCAUUUUCGCUUUCUGUUCCAUGACUUAGUCAUCACCAGAUAUUGGUGGUGUGGAUUCACUUGUCUCCCCAAGAGUGAGCUGCUUCUGGGGAUGUGGGGCAGUCAGCACACAGUGAGAUCUCCAUGUGUCUCUGUUAGUUUGUGUAUAGAGCAAAGUAUAAAAGUGCAUGUUCCUAUGAUAGGAAGAUUGGUCCCAGAAACUCCAUUAGUAAGGUCUUAACUUGAGGACAGUUGAUGCUUCGUCCUUGCCUUCAUCUGCCUUAAGGACCCCUUACUUGAAGCCUGGAGGGUGUCCUUCAUGUGUGAGAUUUAUCACUAUUUGUUCUUUUUUUCUCCACAAGUAAGAAGUGGAUUUUUUCUGUUUAUUUUGUUUUUUAUGAUACAUUUUUUACUAGAACUUCUUUGCAGUGUACAUUGAUUACACUGAUGAUAGACACACGGUUUGUUUAUUAUGCAGAAUGCAUAUUAGAUCCUAUGUGAUGCAUGAUAGUGAAACCCAUCAACUAGAGACUGUUCUCUAAAUUUUUACAUUGAUCACCCAGAAUUGAAAAAAAAAGUGGAAAAGUUUACAGAGAAAAUCUUUCAGAUACAAAAAAAAAAAAUACUUUAAGUCAAAUGUAUUAGAGAACAAGCAAAUAGAAGAAUAGAUGAACAUAGGAAAACAAUGAAAAACAAAGGUUGCCCAACAUAGGGAAGAAAUGGAAUACAUGAAAGAGAUCCAAACAAGAGUUCAACAAGUUCAAUGCUAUAUAUGAUUUAUAUAAAACCUAUAAGAGAUUAAAAUUAUAUGCACAGACUGAACAAAAGAGAGGUUUGGAAUUUCAGAUCUUGAAGACAAAAUUGUAGCUAGUUGUCAUGAAAACAGUGCUAUCUUAAAAGUAGCAAGAGACUAUGAGAAAUCAAUCCAGCAGGUACAAAAUGCAUCAAAGAAGAAUUGCAUGACAUUGAUUGGGGUCAAUGAGAAAGCCAGAGACAACACAAAUACCAUAAAAAAACUUCACAAAAUAAUGGAAGAAAACUUCCCAGGCAUGAAUAAAGAAUUUUUCAUACAAAUAACUGAAGCAUAUAGAAAUCCAAACAGACAUAACCAAAAUAAAACUACACCAAGAUAUAUAAUAUUCAAGAUACCAGAAAUACAGCACAAGGACACAUUAUAAAAUGCGGUUAUGGAGAAGUCACAGAUCACUUAUAAUUGAAAGCACAUCAAAUUCUUAGCACUCUUUAUUGUAGCUUGGCAUAACUUACAUCAUCUAGACCCUGCUUUUAACUGGUGCCAUAUAUUUAAACCAAGAGAAUGGAAAAUGACUCAGAGUACAAGUCCUGUGAGAAAAGCAGAAUAAGCUUUACCACCUGGACAAAAAUUACCAUGCUCAAUGAAAGAAACAUGAUACAGGUGUCAACUAAAAAUUAAUGUAAGAUUCUAGCUCAAUUGUUUCCAAUAGAAUGUCACUUUGUGGUUCUCUGUUUAAAAGAUUUGUAAGUUUCCAGAUUAGGCACUCAUUUGGACUCUGAAAUUGGCAGGUAAUUUAUAUGAGUGGUCCUGAGUUCUAUUAAUCAAAUUCCAAAUUUAUCAAUUUGUAUGCUUUGAUUCCUUUAUUUUUGUUGAUGAACCUACCUCAGGCUUCUCAACACAAAUAUCCAAGUAAAGAAGAAAGCUGUAGUUGAAACAGAAGAACAAGUCCUGAAAGUUGGAUAGAAGUACAAGUCCUGAAAGGAAAGAACAUCCAAUCCAGAUUGAUGUAUCCUACAAAACUUUCAAAAUUAAUGGAAACAUAAGAUACUUCUAUGAGAAAGAACAACUGAAGAAAUAUAUGACUGCAAAACUGACCCUAUAAAAAGUAACGAAUGUUAUAUUAGAGAGAGGAAAAAAUGGUCACAAUUCCAAGAAAAACACAGAAAUAACCAGGCAGGACAAGUAAUUAAACAGAGGAAAAAAAGCAGAAAACCAACAGCAGAACAAUAUUUCAACAAAGACAAACCAAUAUGUACCAUUGUUAAUGGUCGCAUCAAUCAAAAGAAAUAGAUGGGUGAAAUGGAUCAAGAAACAAUAUACAAAAAUAAGCUGUAUACAGAAAACAUGUUUAAUUCAAAAAGAAAUUCAGAGACUGAAAGUCAAAGGACAGAAAGCAAUUUUCCAUGCAACUGAGUCCCAGAAAAAAGCAUGAGUAGCUAUGCUCUUUGCAGACAAUGUGAACUUCAAACCAAGAAGGACCAAAAAGAUAAAGAGCCUCACUACAUACAUGUUAAUGCAAAGGUUUUUAAAAAAUAAGAUAGCAAUGAUAAAUAUGUGUACAUCUAAUACAUGACCACCCAACAUUAUAAGGCAGUUUUAAAAAGUCUAGGUCUUCAUGGAUUUACUGCUGAAAAUAAUGCAACAAAGAAUAACACAAUUGACCCAAGAGACUUCAACAUCCCACUAUCACAAAUAGAUGAACUAGACUAAUAAUCAGCAACGAAACAUGAAAGUUGAACCGAAUCUAUAAACAAAUUAACUGAAUCGAUGUUUACCAAGUAUGUGACCCAACAUAUUCAGAAUAACCAUUCUUCUCAGCCCUGCAAGGGAGGUUCUCUAAAACAGGCCACGUAAACUAGUCCACAGAACAUGCUGAAGUAAAUGUAAAGAAAAACUGAAGUUACCCCAUACAUUUUACAAAUAACUGAAGCAUAUAGAAAUCCAAACAGACAUAACCAAAAUAAAACUACAUGCUGAGCAUAGUGCAAUACAAUUGGGUGAUAAUUGUAAAAGAAGUUGCAAAAACUUCAUAAAUAUAUGGAAAUUAAGUAACACUGCCAAACAAUCAAUGGGUCACAGAUGAAAUAAAGGAAGAAACUUGAAAAUAUCUACAACACAACAAGAAUACAGAUGCAAACCUUGGUUCUCAUGGGAUUCUAAUGAAAGCAGUUCAAAGAGGGAAAUUUAUAGUACUCAAAUCUCACAUCAGGAAAUAGAAAGAGCAUAAAUAAAGAUCUACUGUUUUACCUCACACUUCCAGAAUAAAAAUGGCAUGACAAACCCAAAGCCAAUGAAAGUGAGGAAAAUAUAAUGAUCAGAGAGGAAAGUAAUGAAGUGCAGAACAUAAAACAAUAAAAAUAUUUAAUGAAUCAAAGAGUUGGUUCAUUGAAAGAAUAAACAAAAUUGAUAAGCCUUAGCCAAUCAUAUCAAAAGAAGAAAAGAACACUCAAAACCAUUCAUUGAGGAAUGAAAACAGAAAGAUAAUUACAGAUCGUGUGAAAAUUAAGAAGAUCAUCAGUAUCUACUUCCAAAACUUAUGCUUCCCUAGGUUGGAUAAUAUAGCAAUGAAUCGAUUCCUAGAUACAUAUGAAUUGCCAAAGCUGACUCAAGAAGAUAUAAAAAUUCUACAUAAUGCAGUAUCUGUUAAUGAGACUGAAGAUCUAGUUAAAUUUUAUUGGGUACUAGCUGGGUGGUGCAUGCCUUUAACCCCAGAACUUGGGAGGCUGAGGCAGAAGCAUUGUUGUGAGUUUGAAACUAAACAGGGCUACAAUGUGAGCUCAAGGCCACUCGAGGGCAUAAUAAGACCCUCUGCAAAACACAUUAAAAUGAAGCAAAACAAUGACAAGAAAAAGGCAAUUGACCAACAUAUAAAAGUCUAGGUCUUCAUGGAUUUACUGCUAAAUUUUACAAGAAAUGUAUAGAAAACUGAUGGCCCCUACUCUUUAAUGAAUUUGAAAGAGAAGCAGUUCUCCCUAUCUCUUUCCUGGGGGCCAGGAUUAUACUGAUACUAAUACCAGAGAAAGACACAACCAGAAAAAGAAAACUAUAGGCAAGUUUUCCUAAUGAACAUAGGUACAAAAAUCCUUAAUAAGAUACUAGCAAAGUGAAUGUAGCAAAUCAUCAAGAAGAUUUUAAAACCUGAUCAACUUGGAUUCAUCCCAGGAAGGCAGGGAUGUUUCAGUAUAUGCAAAUCAAUAAAUGUAAAUGUCCUAUCAGCACAGGCAAAAACAAAAGUCACAUGGUGAUCAUCUCAAUAAAUGUACAAUAAGCUUUUGAUAAAAUUGAGCACUGAUUUGUAAUAAAAUCCUGCAGUAUGUAACAAUAGAGAGCCUUUACCUCAACCUGAUAAAACAAGCAAAGACAAAAUAUACCCAGCAUCAUACUAAAUGGUAAAAAACUAAAAACUUUUGCAUUACAAUUAAGAACAACAAAAGCAUGGUUACUAUCACCCCUCCUAUUCAAUAAAGAUCUGGAAACAUUAUGUAGAACAAUUAGACAUAAGAGACAAAUAAGAAUAAUCACAUAACAGAAAGUAAGUAAAGUAUCAUUAUUCACAAAUGACAUGAUAUUCUAUGUAGAAGAUGUUAAUUACUCCACCAAAAGACUUCUACACUUAACCGAGUUCAAUAAUGUAGCUGAAGACAAAGUUGACAAUCAAAAAUCAAGAGCAUUCCUGUACACAAUCAACUCACUCAGAGAAGUUACAGAAACCACACCCUUUACAAUAGCCUCCAACAAAAUGAGAUACUUAUAAUAACCUAACAAAGAAUGUCAAGGACUUACAUAUUGAAAAUACAGUACUUUAUAAAAGGAUACUGAAGAGAUUAUCAGAAAAUGGAAAGAUAUCCCUUGCCCAAACUGUAUGUGCAUUGUUUUUUCAAUGUUCAUGAUUUCUUUUGAUGUACAAAUAUUAUUUAAUAAGAUGGGGCCCCAGUGGUUGAUUCUUUGAAGUUGAUUAUUCAAAAUUUGUGUUUUGUUCAUGAAGCCUCAUUAGUGUUUCUGUUGUAAUACUUAGGUCUCCAAGCUGAUUUGACUUUUGUCUACUUCAUGGUGAUAGGCAUGGACCCAGUUUAACUCUUCAGUAUGGGGAAAGUCAAUUUCUUCAGCAUUAUUGAAGAGACUAUCUCUCUUCCAGUGAACAUAUUUGGCUCCUUUAUCAAAGACAAGACUGUCUUUGUAGUUGUCUCCAUCUUCUAGUCUCUUUGGUAGAUUAUCAGGUCUGUUUUUCUGCCGGUACUCUGGUGAUUUUGUGACAGUAGUUUUCUAGUAUUAUAAGUGAAGAAUUGUGUUGCCUCCUGACUUGCCUUUGUUGCCCAGGAAUGUCUUUAGUAUUCUAGAUCUUCUCUGUUUCCAAAUGAAUUUAGAAAAAUUUUCUCUGUAUUUGUGAGCUAAACUAAUAGUAUUUCUAUGGGCAUUGCAUUAAAUCUGUAUAAGAGGUUGCAAUAUGAUUUUUUUGUUUUAGUUUUCCAUAUCCUUAAAGGUAGUCUUACUUGUUUUUAUAGUCACCCGAUGUAUCCUAAAAGGUAUGAUCCUAAGACUUUCAAACUAUGGAGUUCUUCUUCUCAAGGAUAUCAACAAUAAUAGAUUUUUUUUGUUUGAGACAGGGUUUCCAUAUGCAGUUCAGGCUGACUCUGGACUCACACCUUAGUCCAGUAAAUUCACAGUGAUUAUCUUACCUCAGCAUUCCAAGUCCUGGGAUUACAGGUGUGCACCUAACACCUGAAAGAAUUCCUAGUGUUAUUUGAAAGAUGAGGAAACAGUCAUGAGAUACACAUGCACUCAUUAACUGUCAUUUACUUAAAGGAAAAAUGUCCAAAUUAACACAUAAUUCCACUGGAGUGUAGGGAAUCAAAAGAUGUGUUUCUAUCUCUUAUGGGGAUAACAGACUACACUACUGCAAAAAUGGGAGACAUCACAGCUAGGAAUAUGUAUCAAAUUUGAGCACCAAUAUUAUGAACUCAGAGAGUAUUUAUGGAAAAUGAGGAAAAAGACCAGUGGAAAAUAAUGAGAGACCUGGUGACUUUAGCCUUUCAUGACUCUAGAUCAGGCUUUAUUAUAAUGUUGAGCCUCACAAAUAUUGGAAUAGUCAAAUAUUAUGUGCAUUUUUACCUAGAAAAUAUUAAUGCUUGGCACUGUAUCCUAGAUAUGUUGUAGCUUGGCAUAAAUCAUGCCAUCUUGAGCCCUACAUUUAACUAGUGCCUUGUAUUUGACCCAGGAAAAUGGAAAAUGACUCAGUGUAUAAGUCCAAUGAGAAAAAGCAAAAUGAGCUGUAGCCAAAGAAAAAAAUUUAACCUGCUCAACAAAAAACAAAACAAAACAGGAUACAGGUGUCAGCCAAAAAUUAACAUAAGAUUCUAGCCACAUUGUUUCCAAUAGAAUGUUCUUUGUGAUUGUCUCUUUUAAAAACUCUUAACUUUCAAGUCCAGGACCACUCGUUUAGAUUUUGAAAUGGGGGAGGUGAGUCUGUAUAGAAGUGGUUCUGAGCACAGCAAUUUAAAUUCCAAAUUUAUUCUUUGGCUGCUUGGAUUCCUAUAUUGUUGUUUGCAAAUGGGAUCUCAAGCUCCACAAAGGUUUACUGACACAAGCAAGUACCUGGAUUAAAUACAGUGUCACCUUAAUGAAAGAAUAAUAGUGAAAAGGAGGGAAGAAAAAAGACAAACACCAUGUGUUAUGUUACCCACAUCUUUAUCCAGCAUUUAAGAGGCUGAAACAGGAAAAAGACCAUGUAUUCAAGGACAGACUAUCUUACAUAGUGAGUUCAAUGUCAGCCAGAACUAAAAGUGGGACUAUGUGUUAAAAAACAAAAAACAAAAAUGAAAAAUAUAAAAAACCGAGGAACAGAGAAAGACUAUUAAAAGAAAACAAUAAUAGUAGAGCUGAAUGAAAGUUGACUUAACUAAAAUGGGAAUUAUGGAAUGUUGUGGUAGAGGAAAUCUGGUCAUGAAGUUGCACCCAGGAGGCAGUGAAAAAUAUAGUUAUGAAUGGGACCUUUUGUGCUACAUCACGAUAGUGACCUCCUUCCUCCAAUGCAUCUUCAAUUUACUAGACACGAGGUCCAAAAGUUCAUGGAAAUGUCAAACUCAGAGCAAACAAGCAGCUUGAAAUCAAGGCUUUGGAUCAUGGCCUUUAGCAGAUGUUUCAUAUUCAAAUUGAAAUAGGAGAAAUAUAAUCCUUCCCUGUUUGAUGGCAAAUGCAGGAAGUUGGUUGGCUCACAACAUUGAAGAAUGAAGUCACAAAUCAAAAGAAGUUCAAAAAGUUUUCUUAGAAAAAAAGACAGAAUAGCACUAACUUUGCAGGAGUGGUCUUCAGUGUUUAGGCCACAGAUCUAUUGUCACGGGGCAUUUAUAGAGCCAAGUGAGAAUGUGAGUACAGAGUGGGUCUCAAACUACAAUCAACCUAUAAGCUUAUAGGUGCUUAACUAAUAUUAUUCAGAAGGGUAGCAAGGCACCCAGAAAAGGUAUGCAGAAAGAGCCAAGGUAUUUUGUGGGAAUAAAAGUACAGUUUUUCUGGUCAUUGAGUAUGGUAAUAGAUGCCUAUCUGGACUUCCUGGGGAAGGUGGUGGUAACUGUUGUACAUUUCAAGCUAUUGUUUAUUAUAGCCUAGCUCUAACCAUUGCACCUUAUUUCUGUUCUGUUUGCACCGCACUGCCUCCCCUUUCCUCAUUCCCCCUUCCCCCUUGCUGUCUGUCUAGGUUAAGUUUCAAUUUCCUGAAAGGCCAUAAAAGCCUUAGGUUUCAGUUUCUUGUAACUCCCUUCCCUACCCAGUGGUCUAUAAUAAAAUGUGUUGUUCUUUAGAAAA